AUUGUUUCCAGCCAGAGCUGCUUUCUCUAUUCAGCACUUAGUACACCAUAAACUCAAGACAGGUCCACUGCAUUUUACUGGAAUUCCUGAUUUUACAGAAGAGGGAACCUUGGUUUUUUUCUCCAGUUUUCCUGUAAGCUAUGCUCAUAGCUCGCGGAAAGAUAGAAGAUAAGUUUUACAGGUGGAUUUGGGUGCCACCGAGGACUAUUCUAGCUCAGUCUCAUCACAGCCGACCGGAGGCACGACGAUCCCGAGACGUGCGGCGUAAGUUAUCCGGCCCUCGGCACGGCCAUAAGCAGAGCUGAAUGUCAGAAGAGUCUCAUCUUGUGAAGCAUGGGGUAGGUUAAAAUAUACCUUCCUGAACUCUGAAGUCUCUGCUUCCCUGUACCUUCUGCUUUCUUUAUUCCCUGACUUAAUUUUUGCAUCCAUCCCUUCACCGUCCAUCUGGAUGUCACAGUUACUUAGAGACACAGACUAGGCAAUUAUUUCCAGCGCAGGCUUGAGCGACCG